rnacentral:rRNA from 1 species
CCCCUUAGAGUUUGAUCAUGGCUCAGAAUCAACGCUGGCGGCGCGCCUAACACAUGCAAGUCGAGCGAGAAAGGGAGCAAUCCUGAGUACAGCGGCGUACGGGUGAGUAACACGUAGGUAUCCACCUCUUAGUGGGGAAUAACUCGGGGAAACCUGAGCUAAUACCGCAUAAGUCCGAGAGGAGAAAGCAGCAAUGCGCUGAGAGAGGAGCCUGCGGCCGAUUAGCUAGAUGGCGGGGUAAUGGCCCACCAUGGCGACGAUCGGUAGCCGGCCUGAGAGGGCACACGGCCACACUGGCACUGAAACACGGGCCAGACUCCUACGGGAGGCAGCAGUGGGGAAUCUUGCACAAUGGAGGAAACUCUGAUGCAGCGACGCCGCGUGGACGACGAACCCCUUCGGGGUGUAAAGUCCUUUCGACCGGAACGAUAAUGACGGUACCGGUGGAAGAAGCUGCGGCUAACUACGUGCCAGCAGCCGCGGUAAUACGUAGGCAGCAAGCGUUGUUCGGAAUUACUGGGCGUAAAGAGUUCGUAGGCUGUUUGUCGCGUCGUCUGUGAAAUUCUGCAACUCAAUUGCAGGCGUGCAGGCGAUACGGGCAGACUUGAGUACUACAGGGAGAGACUGUAAUUCCUGGUGGUAGCGGUGAAAUGCGCAUAUAUCAAGAGAACACCGGUGGCGAAGGCGGUCUUCUGGGUAAUAACUGACGCUGAGGACGAAGCGUGGGUAGCGAACAGAUAGAUACCCUGUAGUCACGCAGUAACGGUGGUACUAAGGGGUGGGCUUCCUUUCGCGAGAAAUCGGGGCAGUAGCUAACGCAUAGUACCGCUGAGGGGAGUACGCCGCAAGCUAACUGAAGAAUUGACGGGUCGCACGCGGCGACCUGUGGAAUUGAAGCACGAAUCCUGUCUGGCGACGUACCUGACGCG